rnacentral:rRNA from 1 species
GACGAACGCUGGCGGCGUGCUUAACACAUGCAAGUCGAACGGAAAGGCCCUGCUUUUGUGGGGUGCUCGAGUGGCGAACGGGUGAGUAACACGUGAGUAACCUGCCCUUGACUUUGGGAUAACUUCAGGAAACUGGGGCUAAUACCGGAUAGGAGCUCCUGCUGCAUGGUGGGGGUUGGAAAGUUUCGGCGGUUGGGGAUGGACUCGCGGCUUAUCAGCUUGUUGGUGGGGUAGUGGCUUACCAAGGCUUUGACGGGUAGCCGGCCUGAGAGGGUGACCGGCCAAAUUGGGACUGAGAUACGGCCCAGAAUGCUACGGGAGGCAGCAGUGGGGAAUAUUGCACAAUGGGCGGAAGCCUGAUGCAGCAACGCCGCGUGCGGGAUGACGGCCUUCGGGUUGUAAACCGCUUUCGCCUGUGACGAAGCGUGAGUGACGGUAAUGGGUAAAGAAGCACCGGCUAACUACGUG